rnacentral:rRNA from 1 species
AUUGAACGCUGGCGGCAGGCUUAACACAUGCAAGUCGAACGAUGAUUUCCCAGCUUGCUGGGAAUGAUUAGUGGCGGACGGGUGAGUAACAUUUAGGAAUCUGCCUAGUAGUGGGGGAUAGCUCGGGGAAACUCGAAUUAAUACCGCAUACGACCUACGGGUGAAAGGGGGCGCAAGCUCUUGCUAUUAGAUGAGCCUAAAUCAGAUUAGCUAGUUGGUGGGGUAAAGGCCCACCAAGGCGACGAUCUGUAACUGGUCUGAGAGGAUGAUCAGUCACACCGGAACUGAGACACGAUCCGGACUCCUACGGGAGGCAGCAGUGGGGAAUAUUGGACAAUGGGGGCAACCCUGAUCCAGCCAUGCCGCAUGUGUGAAGAAGGCCUUUUGGUUGUAAAGCACUUUAAGCAGGGAGGAGAGGCUAAUGGUUAAUACCCAUUAGAUUAGACGUUACCUGCAGAAUAAGCACCGGCUAACUCUGUGCCAGCAGCCGCGGUAAUACAGAGGGUGCGAGCGUUAAUCGGAAUUACUGGGCGUAAAGCGAGUGUAGGUGGCUCAUUAAGUCACAUGUGAAAUCCCCGGGCUUAACCUGGGAACUGCAUGUGAUACUGGUGGUGCUAGAAUAUGUGAGAGGGAAGUAGAAUUCCAGGUGUAGCGGUGAAAUGCGUAGAGAUCUGGAGGAAUACCGAUGGCGAAGGCAGCUUCCUGGCAUAAUAUUGACACUGAGAUUCGAAAGCGUGGGUAGCAAACAGGAUUAGAUACCCUGGUAGUCCACGCCGUAAACGAUGUCUACUAGCCGUUGGGGUCCUUGAGACUUUAGUGGCGCAGUUAACGCGAUAAGUAGACCGCCUGGGGAGUACGGCCGCAAGGUUAAAACUCAAAUGAAUUGACGGGGGCCCGCACAAGCGGUGGAGCAUGUGGUUUAAUUCGAUGCAACGCGAAGAACCUUACCUGGUCUUGACAUAGUGAGAAUCUCUCAGAGAUGAGAGAGUGCCUUCGGGAACUCACAUACAGGUGCUGCAUGGCUGUCGUCAGCUCGUGUCGUGAGAUGUUGGGUUAAGUCCCGCAACGAGCGCAACCCUUUUCCUUAUUUGCCAGCGGGUUAAGCCGGGAACUUUAAGGAUACUGCCAGUGACAAACUGGAGGAAGGCGGGGACGACGUCAAGUCAUCAUGGCCCUUACGACCAGGGCUACACACGUGCUACAAUGGUAGGUACAGAGGGUUGCUACACAGCGAUGUGAUGCUAAUCUCAAAAAGCCUAUCGUAGUCCGGAUUGGAGUCUGCAACUCGACUCCAUGAAGUCGGAAUCGCUAGUAAUCGCGGAUCGGAAUGCCGCGGUGAAUACGUUCCCGGGCCU